GAAAUGCGAUACUUGGUGUGAAUUGUAGAAUCCCAUGAACCAUCGAGUCUUUGCAUGCAAGUUGCACCCGAUGUUAUUAGGUUGAGGGCACGUUUGCCUAGGCAUCUCACGUUGUGUCGCCAGUACCCCCUCCCCCCGAAGGGAAGGGUUGUAGGCGGAUGUUGGCCCCCCGCGCUCGCCCACGCGGGGUCAGCCUAAAAAUGAGUCCCCCGCAAUAAAUAGCACUUUGUGACAAGUGGUGGUCGACAAACUGUUGGGUCACCUCGAAGUUGUCGCGGGAGCUCUGUUGUGAUCCUAUCGCACCACUGCCAAGGUGCUCCGAUCGCAACACCAGGUCAGGCAGGAUUGCCUGUUGAGUUUAA
rnacentral:misc_RNA from 1 species